AAAGAAGGAAAAACAUGGAAAAACAGUUGAAAAGACACCCUUGAAAGUAAAACAUAACAAAGUUCCUGAAGAAAAAGCAGUCCCUUUUUAUCACAAUGUGACUACAGAAAAACUUUCAAAAGCUGCAAAACCAGGAACUGCUGUCCGCUACUAUCAAUGUGUCUUUGUAAAUGGAUUUAAUGGUUACACACCUCGAUAUUCUGUUACUCAAGAAAAACCUGCUGAUUCCAAGUUGAAGGCGCGGAAACAAUAAUGUCCUGCAACCUGUGACAUUGCAACAAUUUUGCACUUUGCACCUACUUCAGGGGGUCACCUGGAAGUCCACUUAGCACCUGUGACAAUGGAAGUAUGGUCAGACUGAUCACAUGCACCUGUAAAGGUUGUCUCUUGGUUGUUAGAGCACCAGAGACAAUUUUAUGGCAUUAUAUGAUUAAGGAUAUCCAUACUACUUCCCUGAAUGAAAGCAUGGUGCUGAAAGAGUACUUGACAGUAAGUGUAUAGGUGUAUGUAUAUUUAUAUAUCCUGUCAAAGUCUGUUUCUAGGUUCUGUUUUAGACCUAGCUAGUAUGGAAAACAUUUUCCAUGGUAUCAGUUUUGGAAAAUGUUGAAACGCAAAUAGUCAUUUGCAGUACAGUUUGCAAUCUACGAUAGUGUUAAAUGAAAUUGCGAGUCAUUCUGUACUAAACUUUUAAGUAACCAGACUCUAAUAAUAAAACAUAUGUUCUACAUAUGAUUUUUUUGUAAAGCAAGCAAUAAAAUGUUUGCUAUUUACAUACUAGAGAGAUAUUUGAAUUAAGCGCAUCAAUUUCUCUUUACUUGCUAUUUGAAAUAACAGACUGAUAUCUCAACAUCAAAAGAAAAAUAUAAUGCUUCCAAUGAAAAUGUCUAAAGAUGUUAUUCUGGCUGCCUAUUAAAAUAGGUUUUGCUUUGUAAAUAAUACUGUAUCUUUGUAAGUAGUUGUUCCUAAUUUCUAUUAAAUGUAUUUUGUGUAUAUAAUUUUAUACUUGUUUGCAAUGUCAAACUGAACAAAUUAUGUAUUGUUUUUACACAAAUUGGAUAAGGACAACUCUUAACACAAAAAUUACAUCUGAAGUCUUUAACUGAAUCAAUUUCAUAAGUUUCUAAAGGGAGACUAUUGUUGAAAUGCUGAUAUUUAUUUUGAAGAGAUGAACAGGGUUUAGGUAACUAUGCCUAAAGAGGUUGAAGCAAUUCAUGACAAUGUUUGGUUUUCCCUCUCUCUCUUUACAUGUUUCAUCUUUUCAUGUCUUGGUCAUACUAAAAUAGGACUGGAAUUUAAUGCUACCUAGGCAAUUUCCAUUACUGUAUUUUCAACCUGAUCUAAUACAAUUCUGCCAUUGUGAAAGUAAAUUUAUUGGGAGAAAAACAAAUACAGAUAAAUGGAAUACUUGAUUACUAAUAUUUCUGUAUUAGACUGAAGGCUAAAUCACAAACAAGUGAUUUAGGAUCAUUUUGUUAAAAAUAAAAGAUUGUACUACUUAAAGAAUGUACUUUGGACGUACAGGCUUAUCCCGCUGCUGGAUGAGCAAAAUGAGGAGGUGUGUCAACAAAGCAGAGAAUUAAAGACUAGACUGUAGUCUUUAUGAAAUAUGGUUUUGACAUGUCACAAGAUAUAUGCAUUGAUUGAAAGAUGAUUGAUCUUGUUAAUAUUGUAUCAUGAUUGAUGAAAGCAUUCAAACUUUUUAUAAAUGAUGAUACCUCAUAAGUGACAUGAAAACGUUUGACUGUGCUUGAUUAUAUGGUAGAGUUGUAGAGUUGGCAUAGCAUUAAUGUGAUCAACUCAACCAUAUCAAGAAUUAUGAUCCACCAUGAGUGCAGAAGUAUAGAAGUUUCAGAAUGUAACUUUGAGAUCUGCCUCUUUUAGGUGGUUCAUAUCUACCUCUGAUCUUCCCAAAACAGAAACCUUAGGCUUCUGUUCACUUUUCCUAUAAUUCAUUUAUUUUGCUAUUUAUAGCAUAGUUUUAGUGGCUUUCCAAAGACCUGCAGAUUGAAAUGCAUGUUUUUAGUCAAAUCGCCCAAGGUUGCUCUAGAGUUGUAUUGAAAUUUUGCUAAUUGUAGAUAAACCUUACUUAGAUGAUUAAAAGCUGUUUAACUGAGAUUUAUUGAAGCAUAUCCCAAUUCCCUAUAACUGGUUCAAGUGCAAUAGCAUAUUUGAGAAGACAUUUCCCUUUGGAUAUCCAGCUGACUCAGAGAAAUUCAAAAUAUAAAAUCUCACAUAAUGGUCAAUGAUUCCAGAAGCAUUAAUCAUUUGCUUAAAACAAAAGUUUCUUAUUGCCUCCAUCCAGACAUCAGAUUAAUAAAAAAAAUCUUGCCAUUAUUUGAAUUAUAUGAGUUUAUCCAUGUUUUAACUGUUGAUUUGCAAAACAAAAUAGUCAAAGGGUAUCAUAGUAAGUACAGCUCAGUUUCAUUAUUUGACAGGGCAAUGAUUCAUGAUAUUGUUAUUUAUCUUGAUAUUUUAAUUAAUACCAAGAAUCAAAUAGUAAUUACUGUGGUCUUUCUAUGUGGCAUAGGUUCUUUGAAUAGUUUGCCACACAUUCACUUAAAAUCCUAAACUAAAAUUCAUUUCAUGUUCUAGUCCUUGAUAAUGCUUUCCGUGAUGUUUCUCAAGACUGAGAAAGUUUCUUUACUUGGCAUCCACAUAAAGGUUUGAUGUUAAUAGACAAAGUUUUCAUCAUAAAAGCAGUGGCCCCAUUGUGCUGUUGUGCAUAUAUUUCUAACAGCAGAUAGGGAUGAGAAGUAUAACAUUUCAUGGUAUAGCAGACAAAAUAACCCUACAGCACCACAGUAUAAAGAACAGAUAGUAGGGACACUUCCUAUAUCUUAUUGAUAAGGACAAUGGAAAAGAAAGAGGUGCUUAUAUUUUUAUGUCUGUUUUUGUUGAUUCUGUUUUUCACCCCCUUAAUUUAGCGUACUGUUUUUAUUGGGUAUGGAAAUUAUGCCAGCCCCUGGGCUAGCAUAUUUCCUUUCCACUUUGUGGAUAUAUUCAGAGACCUGGGAGUUUGAACUGAUAGCACUAGAUGUGGGCCAUGACAUCUCCUGUUUUUUUAGCUGAACUUUCAUUUUUCAUUAGUUAGACAGCCACAAAGGCAAAAGUAUAUACUAUCACACAAUGAGGUUCCUCAAUGAAAAUCCUCAUUGGACCUCUUUCUCUAUGGAGGACCAUCUCUUUUUCCACAGGGAGGAAGGUCUACAAUAUUUUAUUACUUGUAGGGUGCCACUCCAGAAACCGUAGUAGUGUUUAUUAAAAGUACAGUGCCAGCUAAGCUAAACAAUUACUGCCAUAGUCAUUUUCCUACAUCUAUGCUACUUAGUUCUUUAUGAUAACUAUACUAUUUCUAUAUCUUUAAUCUCAAAUGCAGGCCUUUUUUCACAAUAGAAAUCAGGGAGUGAAUGUAUGACAUCCAUAAUUUCUGGUUCCAUUUCAUUUAUCAUGAAUAGAGUAAGGGAGAAAAAAAAUCACACUGGCUAAAAUAAUUCUUGUAUUCCUUAGUUUUGAAAAUAAGAAGGACAAUACCUCUAAGAAUAAUUUGUCAAGUCAUCCACUGCCUUUUAACUGCCGCAGAUGUCUUCCAAUUGUCAAAAUAAUAUACCAAGUUAUAAGCACUGAAAAUAAGGCUAUCUCAAUUCAAAGAAAGACGUAAUGCUUUGUACAAUUUUUUAAGGCAUCCAGAUAGAUUUAUGUGUAUGCAAAAUAAGUAGAGGUGUAUUUGAAAGUAAGAUCAAAAAGGCCUGGGAAUGAUUAGAAGUAACACAGGCAGGGUCUUGUUUUAAACAAGAAGGGAAUGAAAUAUUUUAAUGGAUGCAAAAAGAAAUGGUAAACAUAAGAAUGGCAAAAUGAAGAGAUAUACCACUAUUGUGAAUGGAUGUAGUAGAAGGAAUGCUGAGGAAUUUUUUUAAAGGUGUUGCAAUGCAAUGAGUGCAACACAGAUGGGAAGAAGAAACAUGGUAAAUAAAGAAAAAUGUUUGAUCUUCCAUUUUGAGAGAUAAAGCCAAGAAAAGAAGAAAAGCUAACGCAGAUUGUUUUCUACAAACUAGAGAAAGUACUGCAGAAGGGACUUCACUGUAAAAUAGUCAGUGGUGUUUUUCAAUUACCAAAAUAGAUUUAUAUUUAAGAACACUCCGCAAAGUGUAGCAUUGCGGAUGACUGCGGUAGUGGUUGUAUGUAGAGAAUCAGGUGAGGGAUUUGUUCCAAUUAAUUGAACACCAGUCAAACAUAACUUUCCCCUUCUUACAAUUGUGAGACAUAUACUGUAUUUGGUCAAUAAGAAGACUGAAAGGCCUGCACAUUUUCUACACAUUUAUGAUCAAUGUUCUCCCCUAUUCUCAGUACAAAAUCAUGAGUUCCAAACUCUCAUUCCUUAACCACACCAAGGAAGGGAAGGCUAUGACUCAGUUGUCAAUAGAAGAUACCUAUCUCUCAUUCACUCUAAUCUUUGGUAUAGUGUCUUGAUAUAGGCCUAUCUAUAAAUACCAGGAAAGCAGAGAAUAAUCUUUGUUAUAAUCUAUAGCAGAGUAAACAAUAUUGUGCUCAUGGACCCUUCCUUUGUACCUUCUAGAAUCUAGAUUCUAGGCUGCAGAUGACUUCUUUUUAAUAGGACCUUUAAUUUAUAACGAAGAAAAUAUUGCCAUGUUACAAGCACCAGAUAGUAAUAUAUGGAUCCUGUAGAUAGUCUUAGAAAAUAAAAAUGUUAGGUAACUACAGCUUAGCACCAGGUUUGGAAAUACACUCACCUUUCAAGAAAAAAUAGAAAGAACGAAAGAGGAUGGGGGUGGGGGGAGAGAGAAACUAGAGGUAAUCACAAAUGAGAUGUAUUUUAUCACUGGCUGUACUGACUAUGGCAGGCAUUUGUCAAAUGGAAAAGCCUAUCUGUCAGCCAACUGUAACAACGUUCAGUAUGCCAAAAUGAUAGCCUACUUCUGAGCUACUCCAUGACUGUAGGUAGUCUGAAUUUAUAGCUUUAUGCAAAAAUAUGUAUCACACCAUACUGACAACUUUAUAAAAUAGAAAAGAGAAGAGCAAAAAGUUGUGUAGACUGAGAAUGUGGUGAUUGGUUGUGAAUUUCUCCAAAAUUGAGAGAACUGCACAAAAAGGGUUUUAUGAUUUUCUGAAGGCGCAGUAUUGAUCUGAAAAAUAUAUUAGAAUAUAUUUAGAAUAUAUUUUAGGCUUCGGUCCUGUAGACGUUUAACCUCUAGGGUUAUUGGGAUUAAGAAAUAGCUGGAGCUCUAUCCAGUGAUGUCUUGCUCUGAUCUAGCAGAAAAUACUCAUACAACAGAGAGCUAUUUACACUAUCAAGAAAUAUUCUUUUAUUUCACAAUUAUAUUUAAUGACUGCUACUGGUAUAUGUUAAAAUAUUGGUACUUAUUGAAAUUUAAAUAAAGUUUUUAAAAUAAGCAACAAAAAAGAAUGCUAAUGACAAUAAUGUUUUGUUUUUAUAUUUAUGUCUUUAUGUUUUCAUUUUCAUCUUAACUUUGUACAUACUUUAUCAAUACUACAAAUGUUUUCCUUUCAAAAAUUAUUUCAUUUUUGGUCUCCAAGUGACAUCUUAUAUAGAAAAUGUUUUUAUCAUGAAGAUACUGCAUUGACUACAGAUUGUAAUUAUUUAUGUAAUACUUCUAAACAUGGAAAGAAUAAUUGUUGAAUAGCUGAAUUGAGAUGCAAAUUUGAAGCCCUGUAUAUUUCCAAAGAGAAUUUGAAAAAAAGUGUUGUUAGGUUUCUGUCAAAUUACUGUUGCUAACCUCGCUGAUAGUCUGUAAGUGAGAAAAUAUCAAGUAUUUUCAAUAAAAGGGAAAUGUUUUC